rnacentral:rRNA from 3 species
GUUUGACCUCAAAUCAG